rnacentral:misc_RNA from 1 species
GAUGAAGAACGUAGCGAAAUGCGAUAAGUAAUGUGAAUUGCAGAAUUCAGUGAAUCAUCGAAUCUUUGAACGCACAUUGCGCCCGCCAGUAUUCUGGCGGGCAUGCCUGUUCGAGCGUCAUUACAACCCUCAGGCCCCCGGGCCUGACGUUGGGGAUCGGCGGAGCCCCCCGUGGGCACACGCCGUCCCCCAAAUGCAGUGGCGGUCCCGCCGCAGCUUCCAUCGCGUAGUAGCUAACACCUCGCGACUGGAGAGCGGCGCGGCCACGCCGUAAAACACCCAACUCUUCUGAAGUUGACCUCGAAUCAGGUAGGAAUACCCGCUGAACUUAAGCAUAUCAAUAAGCGGAGGA